rnacentral:rRNA from 1 species
AGCGAACGCUGGCGGCAGGCCUAACACAUGCAAGUCGAACGAACUCUUCGGAGUUAGUGGCGGACGGGUGAGUAACACGUGGGAACGUGCCUUUUGGUUCGGAAUAACUCAGGGAAACUUGUGCUAAUACCGAAUGUGCCCUUCGGAGGAAAGAUUUAUCGCCAUUAGAGCGGCCCGCGUCUGAUUAGCUAGUUGGUGAGGUAACGGCUCACCAAGGCGACGAUCAGUAGCUGGUCUGAGAGGAUGACCAGCCACACUGGGACUGAGACACGGCCCAGACUCCUACGGGAGGCAGCAGUGGGGAAUCUUGCGCAAUGGGCGAAAGCCUGACGCAGCCAUGCCGCGUGAAUGAUGAAGGUCUUAGGAUUGUAAAAUUCUUUCACCGGGGACGAUAAUGACGGUACCCGGAGAAGAAGCCCCGGCUAACUUCGUG